rnacentral:tRNA from 1 species
AGGCUGGUAGCUUAUUUGGUAAAGCAUAUUGCUCAUAACAAUAGGAAAGUUGGUUCAAGUCCAACUCAGUCUA